CCAUGUUGGCGUCGAUUCUCACCUGUGCAACCAAAAGAAACUGUGAGCUAAGGAACACGCACAACCGAAUCGCAAAAUCAAUAAUACGUCCCUUGUAAAAUUCUGGAGCAAUGGUAACCAAGGUCGACGUAGGAACUUGUUCACGACACCAUUUUAAUUUAUAAAUAAAAGAAGAGGAUUUUAAAACCUUGGAACAUCAGGAAUCUAGGGAAAUUCUACAGACGUUCAAAGGAGAUUGUAAAAUACGUCUUGUAUGGCCUUGAGUUGUAGAUUCACUUUGUCUUGUAAUAUAUACCCGUAUUGUAUAGUUUAAUAUUGUAUAAACCUCGCGCUGUAUAACCUCGUAUUAUAUUACCGCGUAUCUCGCAUCAUAACCUUAUAUUGUAUUAUCACGUACUGCACAUUUUCGUGUUUUAUAAUCUUGCGUUAUAUCACGUCAUAUUAUCUUGCGUUAUAUUACUAUGCGUUGUAUAACCUCGGGUUAUAUCACCGUAUGUUGUAUCUUGUAUCCUUCUUCUGAUAUUAAAAGAAAUCUACGUUGCGCCGCACCAGUGUUCAGAAGGGUGGUUUUUCAAAAUGUACACAAAGCCCUUCGUAACAAUCAGUAAUUACGUAGAAAUUAUACCUUAGUAAUUAUGUAGAAUAUCUAAGAAAAAAAUAAAAGUUUUGCAUAAAAAAUA